rnacentral:rRNA from 1 species
AUGCCGUCCGGACGCCGCCGCCGCCGCCGCGACGGGCGAGCACAGAGCUCUGCGCCUUCCCCGCCGACCCCCCCGCCACCUUCCAUGCCACAGCUCCCCUCCCCUCCUCCUCCGCCGCCGCCUUCCAGGCCACAGCUCACCUCCCCUCCUCCGCCCCCGUCUCCCAUGCCACAGCUCACCUCUCCUCCCCCUCCUCCACCGCCGCCUUCCAGGCCACAGCUCACCUCCUGUCCUCCCCCGCCGCCGUCUCCCGUGCUACAGCGCACCUCCUCCCAUGGAAAUCUCCAAGCAACUUCCGCGGCCGACCUGAUCGCCAAGCAACUCCCCGAGGACCGCCGAGAAAUCUCUGCCUCCCAAGAUAGGCAUGGGGCUCUCCUGACUUCCGAUGACGGGCAGAUACGGCCCGUCGCUGAUGUCCUCAGGGAAUCUGAAUCCAAACGCAGAGCAGCUGUUGCUCUCGACAAGGCACUUCCGCCGCCGCCUCACGCCCCCCCCUCCAGCGGCGACGCUCUCCGUCCACGGCUGCACAUGUUAACAUGGCGCGAGGAGAGGGAAAGAGAGACAACACUGUUGGAGACUUCCUCUUCCUCUAUGCAACAAGCUACAAGGCAUGAGGAAAGGGAAAGAGGGACAACACUGGAGGAGACUUCCUCUUCCUCUAUGCCACAAACUACAAGGCGCGAGGAGAGGGAAAGAGAGACACCACUGUUGGAGACUUUCUCUUCCUCUAUGCCACAAGCUACAAGGCAUGAGGAGAGGGAAAGAGGGACAACACUGGAGGAGACUUCCUCUUCCUCUAUGCCACAAACUACAAGGUUUAAGGUGCCAGAUCUCUUGUCAUUGAAGCAUGAUAUACAUCUUUUGGCUGAUUCAUGUAUUUCGACAUUGGUGCCCACUGGUCUUAUGAUAAAAUAUUUUGUGAGAGUUGACAAUGAUGGAUUUUUCCAUACGUAUCCUGACCGUGGUGGACCGUUUGAGAGCAUACAGGAAGUUCAGGAAGCCAUUGACUCCCACCAUGCUGUUCAGCGAAAAAACAUAUGCAUGGAUGGACUUACCGACGAGGAGAGGGCUAUCCGAUAUGCUCUUUACUGGUAUCAUGAUGGCACACGGAAGCACUCCAUAGAAGCUUUUGUUUCCUGUACGACCGAUCUCCCUACAGAGGAAUUGGUUAAGGCUGUACUCGACAAAUACAAUGAGGACAAUGGUCUCGUCGGGGAUCUCGCAUGUGAACUAGAAGAUAUUGUGAGCCACAAUUCAUGUUUUGACGGGAAAUAUUGCUAUAGAUCUUACGAUCAUUUCAAUCUCACCAUGAAGACUAAAGGAGCUGCCAACAACGAUCUGUACUUUGCUGAAGUCACAUGUAUGGACGGCGAUUAUGAAGCGUAUGUGCUCACCUGUAUCUGCGUGGUCAAACCUGAUGAUAAUGGUGAAUGCCAUGUCUGUGGAGCUGACAUGAAGCACCCUGCUCAUGAUGGAUACAACCGUGGCCGCCCCCAGAAGUCAUAUGGACAUGGUAGACGUCGUGCACGUGGAGUUCCUUUAUUUGAGAAGUUAUUUGACGUGCGUGAUGAAGUUUGGCUGAAAGAAGAGGAGGAUAGGGUGAGACGUAUGAUCAAGGAAGGAAAGGAGGAAAGGCGCAAGUUUCAUACCGGCUAG